ensembl:ncRNA lncRNA:CR44073 long non-coding RNA:CR44073
CCGUAAUCCAGAGCGAGAUCGCCCGACUGUUUCCUGUCAUAAAUCAUGCUCACAAAGCUAAUUCCCAAAAUGAAACAUAUCUUACGACGGCUUACGAAGAGUAAAAAAUAAAACACUUAAAAAUGUCCCAAUUUUCUGGAGCUUACAAUAAGAGGCACGCGGAAAUGGCGAAUAAACGGAAAAGCGGAGUAAAGAAAUAAAUACAGAAAUGGAAUGAAGUUGGCCUGUAAAAAGCAAAGUAGCAAACACACAUAAAUAAACACGUUCAAUGGCAAAUAAAAAAUAAAUCAAACAUUUCACUUGGCGCGGCCCAAAAAUAAACAGAAAACAGCAACAACAGCAGGGCAUCAACAAAAAUAUUGUAGAAAUGCUGGAAUAAUAAAAGUGAAAAUGAAAAACAAAU